GAGGCGGCUGGUGCGGGGGGGGGAACUGGGAGGGACUGGGGGCUACUGGGAGUUACUGAGAGGGCACUGGGGGGUUACUGGGAGCACUGGGAGGGCACUGGGGGGGCUCAGUUUUAGUGGAGGCACUGGGGGUGCCGCUGGGCCUUACUGGGAGAGGCUUGUGGGCUUUACUGGGAGCACUGGGUGGACUGGGGUGGUGACUGGGGCUUACUGGGAGCAUUGGGAGGGAUUGUUGGGCUUUACUGGGAGCACUGGGGCAACUGGGAGGGGUCGCUGGGCUUUACUGGGGGCGCUGGGAGGGGUCGCUGGGCUUUACUGGGAGCGCUGGGAGGGGUUGCUGGGCUUUACUGGGAGCCCUGGGAAGGAUAGCUGGGCUUUGCUGGGAGCACUGGGGCAACUGGGAGUGAUCAAUGGGUCUUACUAGGAGGGUUUGUAGGGCCUUGCUGGGCCUUACUGGGAGGGCUUGUAGGGCCUUACUGGGAAGGCUCCCAGGGCCUGACUGGGAGCGAUCACUGGGCCUUACUGGGAGGGCUCCCAGGGCCUGACUGGGAGUGAUCACUGGGCCUUACUGGGAGCACUAAGAGGGAUCCCUGCAGCCUU
rnacentral:lncRNA from 1 species